rnacentral:misc_RNA from 1 species
CCAUUCUAAAUGUUAUCAUUAUUUUUGCUGAGGGGGAGGGGCCUGCAGUCGAGUCCUGCACGUGCAUGACGUGCAAGUAAGUGAUGCGGCGAAUAUCUAAGCAGUUGAUCAGCUCUCGGCAUAAUUCAGAAUGAGGUUGCGCUGGGGCAUCUGCACCGCUGGGCAUAUCAGCAAUGACUUUGUGGUGGCACUCAGCACUCUCCCCUCUGAGGACCACACGGUGGCUGCCGUGGCUGCCAGGUCCGAAGAGAAAGCCAAGCACUUUGCCGACAAGCACAAGAUUCCGGUGGCCUACGGGGGGUAUGAGGCCCUUGCUGCAGAUGGUAGUGUUGAUAUUGUCUACAUUGGUGCAUUGAACCAUGUCCAUCUACCCCUAUGCAAGCUGUUCCUGGGCAAGGGCAAGAACGUUCUCUGUGAGAAGCCCCUUGGUCUGAACAGGAGAGAGGUCCAAGAAAUGAUUGACCUGGCCAAGGAGAAGAACGUCUUCUUCAUGGAGGGUUGGUGGAGCCGUUUCUUCCCAGCAACUGUCAAACUGCGUGAGAUCCUAGCUGCUGGUCUUAUUGGCGACGUAAAGGUUUUCAAUGCAUCGUUUGGCUUGCCAAUAAGUUCUGUUGAAAGAAUAGCAAAUAAAGAUGUUGGAGGCGGAGGUCUGUUGGACUUGGGCAUCUAUCCUGUGCAGGAAGCCCUCAUGGUAUUUGGAGAGGCUCCGUUAUCAUGCAAGACUACCGGCACCUUAACAGAUUCAGGUGUGGAUGAGACAACUGCUACUACAUUGUUGUUUCCCAACAAGGCUGUCGCAACACUGAGCACAAGCACCGUGGUGAAACUCCCCAAUGAAGCGGAGAUAAGAGGAACCAAAGGUCAAAUCAAGGUGCCUUGCCCGUUUUGGUGCCCUACAAAACUUGAGGUGACAACCUCCAUUGGAGAGGCUGAUCUGAAGACCGAGCUGUACGAGUUUCCCCUGCCAAAGGCUGACAAUAGCUUCCUCCACGUCAAUAGUGCUGGCUUCCGAUAUGAGGCAGAGUGUGUGCGACAGUGUCUUAUGAAAGGUCUGAAAGAGUGUCCAACUGCAUGCCUAGAAGAGAGUUUGCAGGCGGCCGAGAUCCUGGGCAGUGCCCGGCGUGAUGUGGGCUAUAAAAUACCUGCAGAUGACCUUUGACCUCUAACUCUAAAGGUCAUACCCCCCUUCAUAACCCUAUACCUAGGAAGCAACAGCAAUCAAACUUGGGAAAGCGCCUGUGCACGGCCAACCUCAUCCACAGGGUGUGAGCAUGAACGGGCCCACUACCUGCUCGAUCUCACCC